GACGAACGCUGGCGGCGUGCCUAAUACAUGCAAGUAGAACGCUGAAGAGAGGAGCUUGCUCUUCUUGGAUGAGUUGCGAACGGGUGAGUAACGCGUAGGUAACCUGCCUUGUAGCGGGGGAUAACUAUUGGAAACGAUAGCUAAUACCGCAUAACAAUGGAUGACACAUGUCAUUUAUUUGAAAGGGGCAAUUGCUCCACUACAAGAUGGACCUGCGUUGUAUUAGCUAGUAGGUGAGAUAACGGCUCACCUAGGCGACGAUACAUAGCCGACCUGAGAGGGUGAUCGGCCACACUGGGACUGAGACACGGCCCAGACUCCUACGGGAGGCAGCAGUAGGGAAUCUUCGGCAAUGGGGGCAACCCUGACCGAGCAACGCCGCGUGAGUGAAGAAGGUUUUCGGAUCGUAAAGCUCUGUUGUAAGUCAAGAACGAGUGUGAGAGUGGAAAGUUCACACUGUGACGGUAGCUUACCAGAAAGGGACGGCUAACUACGUGCCAGCAGCCGCGGUAAUACGUAGGUCCCGAGCGUUGUCCGGAUUUAUUGGGCGUAAAGCGAGCGCAGGCGGUUUGAUAAGUCUGAAGUUAAAGGCUGUGGCUCAACCAUAGUUCGCUUUGGAAACUGUCAAACUUGAGUGCAGAAGGGGAGAGUGGAAUUCCAUGUGUAGCGGUGAAAUGCGUAGAUAUAUGGAGGAACACCGGUGGCGAAAGCGGCUCUCUGGUCUGUAACUGACGCUGAGGCUCGAAAGCGUGGGGAGCGAACAGGAUUAGAUACCCUGGUAGUCCACGCCGUAAACGAUGAGUGCUAGGUGUUGGAUCCUUUCCGGGAUUCAGUGCCGCAGCUAACGCAUUAAGCACUCCGCCUGGGGAGUACGACCGCAAGGUUGAAACUCAAAGGAAUUGACGGGGGCCCGCACAAGCGGUGGAGCAUGUGGUUUAAUUCGAAGCAACGCGAAGAACCUUACCAGGUCUUGACAUCCCGAUGCUAUUUCUAGAGAUAGAAAGUUACUUCGGUACAUCGGUGACAGGUGGUGCAUGGUUGUCGUCAGCUCGUGUCGUGAGAUGUUGGGUUAAGUCCCGCAACGAGCGCAACCCCUAUUGUUAGUUGCCAUCAUUCAGUUGGGCACUCUAGCGAGACUGCCGGUAAUAAACCGGAGGAAGGUGGGGAUGACGUCAAAUCAUCAUGCCCCUUAUGACCUGGGCUACACACGUGCUACAAUGGUUGGUACAACGAGUUGCGAGUCGGUGACGGCAAGCUAAUCUCUUAAAGCCAAUCUCAGUUCGGAUUGUAGGCUGCAACUCGCCUACAUGAAGUCGGAAUCGCUAGUAAUCGCGGAUCAGCACGCCGCGGUGAAUACGUUCCCGGGCCU
rnacentral:rRNA from 1 species